AAGGGGAGAUCUGCAGACAAAAUGCUCUUAAAAACCGGGCUGCGAGGGCGGCUCUCAAUCGGAAAACGCACGGGAGGCGCCAGUGAAAAAAACACCAGUAAUAAUAAUAAGGGAAAAAAAAAAAAAAAAAAAAAAAGCAGCAAGUUGCUACAACUAGAUAAAAUUCGGGGGUGGAGUGAGCCGGACAGCAAAAAAGGAGGAGGAAAAAAGCACCCAAAUAGAUACUACAAACCUGCAGGUCAGGGUCUGCUGCAGGGGAAUCUUGCACCAACACGGCCAGCUAACCUCGGACUGCUGUGGGUACCAGGAAUGAUGAUGCUGUCUGAGAGAUGGAGGAGCUAAGAAAACAUAUUUUUGACAGGUUAAACACAUGAAUUUAAACAAAAAGAAGUCAUUCCAAGGGAUGAAGCGUUACACAAAGACAAGGAUCUUUCAUGUUGAAGGUAUUCAGUUUGACUGGAGUUUCAUUUUCAACAUGUCCCCUAAGACAGAAAAGCAACUGAAAAGCAACAAAAUGCUUUGUCUAAGAAGUAUCAGCCAUUGCUACAAGUCUGAAAAAGAAUGAUUAAGAAAAAGCCCUUAUCUGCUAGAUCACUUACAGAGGUGAAACAUUUGAGGUUUACAUGCUGCAAGAGGUUAGAAGCCACGACUUUACAACAGCACUAAAUGAAAUCUACAGUCUUCUACCAUCUGUUAAUCAAGAACUUUUUCAGUCUCCAGUGUCUGAGGUCUUAGACUCCCGAGUUUAACAUCUUACUUAGCACAGGGACCCCAUCUGUGUAACAUGAUCCUGAGUCUCCACUACCUCAAGCCUUCUCCUGGCCCUCUCACUCCUUACCUCAGCAAGUCUUGAAGAAAUCAUUGAGCAAUUUGCAGGGAUUGGAAGUGAACAACACUGAUGACUGCUCUGUGUGUAUAUUAACUGUGCCAGGACUCAUUUCAUAAGAAUGAGAAGUUUGUCAUUUUCAGUUGUGCAGAGUGUUUUGUGCCAGAUGACUUCUGCCUUCCUCCCCAGAGACAGCUACUGAGCCAGCUCCGAACAGAUGCAGCUCUACAGACCACCUUCUUCUGGAAGCAUCAGAUAGUCAAAAUACUUUUAUGGCCUCCAAACAAUUAAUUUCUCCCUUUAAAACAAAUCAGACAAAAAAGCCCUAUCUUCAUGAGGAAGCAGCUUCCAGCUCUUUUGUUCUGCUCAACCUGUGAACCCAGAACCUGCCUCACAGCUGCAGAAGUGGGAGCUCUUCCCUCCAGGUUUUAGCAGCGAAGAUGCUGCGGUACAGUGGCAUCAGGCACAACAAGAAUAUUCCAUCACCACUCCCAAAGUGUUUCCCUAACAGGAGGCUGAAGAAAAGCAGGGACAAGACAGUUAUUUUUUCCAUAGGCCAACUCAUGCUUUCCUUGAUGAAAAAAAGUUAGCACAAUUAAUGUGAAGAAAAAUUAGACCAGGGGACAAGAGACACGGGGAAGAGCUGACCCUGUGCCUUCUCUUAUUAAACAAAACUCUUUUCUUUGCGUGCAAUCCAUAGAAUAUUAAACUUUACAUACUCUGGAAUUGGCCUGAAGCCUAACAAAACUGGAACCACCCCAUCUUUAUUGGCUUUAUAUAGAUAGGUACAGAAAUAUACAAAGUUGAGAUGAUUCAUGCUCUCUGGAAUGAAGGGCAGCAGCACAGCUUUGCUUGAGCAGAGAUAUUCAUGGGAGCAGGAAAAACAGAGCGAGCACUCUGACUGCUGGGAAAAGCUGCUGAAGGUUGUUCUUGGUAGCUAUUGAAGAGGAAGAACAUUACUGAAAACGGGGGUAGGGCAGCUCAGAGAAGAGACUGGAAGGUGCCUAGGCCAAACAAGAUCUUUUGAACUGCUAGUCAACAAAAACAAAACUUGUGAAAUAAAGCAGCCUAAAAUCAAAAUACAUAGUUAGCAAUUUUUGUAAUUCUCUGAGCUUCUUGGCAUAUGGCACAAAAAAAGGACAAGGCAAAGACAAGGUACAGUAUAAAAUUUAAAUAACUACUCCAUAUACAUAAAAAUAUAAGUAUUAUGCUUCUUUAAAAGGCAAGAAAUGCUCUCACAUAUAGGCUAUGCACUCUAAAUGAAAAGGAAGCUCAAAAUACCUUUAGCAAUAUGGAUAGAGUCCACAUUUUUCUGAAACACACAAGAGACACUUCAGUGCUUUAAUCAAAACACUACUCCAAAAAUGCACAAAUAAACACCCAAGUAUUCUAAAAGUAUUUGGAAAGCAUUCUGAAAUUUUUAAUAAUCACCUCAGGAUGCCGCAGUCUCUAAGAAAAACUCAGAUUGUUUUCCAGAACUUUGAUUAUGGAAAGAAACCGCUGAUACGAAACUAGAGAACAACUGUAGAUUUAAGGGUGCUGAUGUAAUUUUUCCACAGAAAGCAGCUGAACUCUGUAGAAAGAGAGCAGUGUCAGGUUAGAAUGUUAUGCUGCUUCACAGACUCAGACCCCAUUGCAGCACGUUUUUGCACGGCACUAAUGAGACGGUGACUCUCACUGCACAGCUGUACAGAUGUUGAGCCUGCCGAAGCUGGGAUAGUCAUAUGUCAAACUUCUGUGGUUUUGCCACUUGGUAUUUUGGGUGUAUGCCUUCAUUUGUGAUAAUAAAUAUCAGACCACAAACUAAUGUCUCCUCAGAUAUCUAAUAUGUUCAACACUCAAAACAGCUUGAAAAUCUAAACAUUUCUGCUGUUCGCUUUGAGUUCUCUUCAAAGAAUUAUGCUACAAUAUAUACCAGAUGAAUAGGCUAGGGAUAAGACAAUGAUUGCCAGUUGUUGGGAUGGGUUUCUCUGCCAUUUUGUACCUAUAUUUUUUAUCCUGCAGUACACACAAAGUUCAAACAAUGCCUUCAUUAGGAAAAUCUAAAUCCUACUGCAUGUUUCCAUGCUGAAGACUGAAAAUUUCAAAGUUGCUCCUAAUCAUAUCUUGCCUCUAAGCAGGUACAAAGAAAGGUUUGUAUGUAAGGCAUCUGUAGAAAUGGAUAGAACAGUACUAUGUAUUUUAAGUAUCAAUUAAUAGGCCCCAAGGCUUUUCUUCACAUAGCAAAUGGGGAAAUGUGAUAGCAAAGUUAAACAAAUGACACAGCAUCAGUCAGUCAGUCUGGAACAGCAAAGGCAGCAGAAUUCAACCCCAGUCUCUCAUUUAGAACACCUUAAUCACCACACAGUUCCUUCUGUAUGCAUAUGCUUACAGAAAAUAUAUUAUUAUUAUGUGUGUUAGCUUCUGCACCUCUGCAACCAACAACUACUGAGGAGAAAUUGCUGUAGCUUAAACAAAGCCAGUUGUGUUACCCUGACAGAUGACUUCCACAUUUGUUACUGUUAGGGCACACACCUAGGAGGAAGGGCUCGUUUGACCCUUUGCAAACCUGAGGAAUUAGCAUUAGAGCUGGCUAAACCCACAGGAUGAAUCUCGGAGCUCCAGCUCUUCACUGAAAAAGGCGAGAGCAACACAGCUGCAAAUGAAGCAACACUGAACACAAUUUUAUGUGGUAUUGCUAGAAAAGCUCUCCCUCCCCAAUGAAACCAAUAGCAAUGACUGUCCUUUCCUCUCCUACCAGACUCUUAGCUUACACAAUCUCAGACUCGCAAUGGAAAAACCAUAUAUAUAUAUAUACACACACAUAUAUAAAUACUAAACCCAGUCAGUAGAGUUGAGUCUCUCCUUUUAUAAUUACAUUUCCAGAGUUGUCUCCAAUCAAACUAAUGCUCCAAGACCAGAACUAUCACAUUAAUGGUUACUUUCCUUUAUUAUCUACAGAACCUUUUCUGGCCAAAAUAGUAAAGACUCUAUAGGAGUCCGAUAACUUUACAAGGUGACGGUAUUUCUGUGUUUAUUGUAAGUCAUUUCUGUUGCAAAUUGCAACAACUUUUCAAAGUGCAACAGUGAUUUGGACAUGCAGGCACACUAAUACAUCAAUUGCCAUGACUAAUGUAUAAACUUUUAAUGACCUUGGCAAAAUCUAUCUUUCAUUGGGCAAGUGCCACUAUUUUGACUGUACAAAAUGUUUUGGAAAUAUGUUGAAAAUUAUACUUGUUUUGGAAAAUAUUUCAAGAUUUCAGUAUAGCAAAUGGAGCUAUAUUAAAUAAAAGUUUGACAUGGAGGAGAAAACACUCCAAGGUUGUGUAAGUCUUUUUUUUUUCUUUUAAAAGAGGUAUCCUCCAAGUGUUGUACAUUCACAGAAUGCUGACUUUUUAUCCAAACAAACUUAAGAAGAUAAAACAUUAUCU
ensembl:lncRNA